UAAGGCGAAAGAUUAGAAAUCUUUUGGGCUUUGCCCGCGCAGGUUCGAGUCCUGCAGUUGUCG
rnacentral:tRNA from 2 species